rnacentral:rRNA from 1 species
CCCAUACCGAACACGGAAGUUAAGCUCUCUAGCGCCGAUGGUAGUUGGGACCUUGUCCCUGUGAGAGUAGGACGUUGCCAGGCA